GACGAACGCUGGCGGCGUGCUUAACACAUGCAAGUCGAACGGAAAGGCCCUGCUUUUGUGGGGUGCUCGAGUGGCGAACGGGUGAGUAACACGUGAGUAACCUGCCCUUGACUUUGGGAUAACUUCAGGAAACUGGGGCUAAUACCGGAUAGGAGCUCCUGCUGCAUGGUGGGGGUUGGAAAGUUUCGGCGGUUGGGGAUGGACUCGCGGCUUAUCAGCUUGUUGGUGGGGUAGUGGCUUACCAAGGCUUUGACGGGUAGCCGGCCUGAGAGGGUGACCGGCCACAUUGGGACUGAGAUACGGCCCAGACUCCUACGGGAGGCAGCAGUGGGGAAUAUUGCACAAUGGGCGGAAGCCUGAUGCAGCAACGCCGCGUGCGGGAUGACGGCCUUCGGGGUGUAAACCGAUUUCGCAUGUGACGAAGAGUGAGUGACGGUAAUGGGUAAAGAAGCACCGGCUAACUACGUG
rnacentral:rRNA from 1 species